GGGGAGAGAGUCCAUCCAUUGUUUCAGAGCUAUGCUGGAAACAGCAUAGCAAGUUGAAAUAAGGCUAGUCCGUUAUCAACUUGAAAAAGUGGCACCGAGUCGGUGCUUUUUUU
rnacentral:sRNA from 1 species